rnacentral:rRNA from 1 species
GAUGAACGCUGGCGGCGUGCCUAAUACAUGCAAGUCGAGCGAAUGGAUUAAGAGCUUGCUCUUAUGAAGUUAGCGGCGGACGGGUGAGUAACACGUGGGUAACCUGCCCAUAAGACUGGGAUAACUCCGGGAAACCGGGGCUAAUACCGGAUAACAUUUUGAACCGCAUGGUUCGAAAUUGAAAGGCGGCUUCGGCUGUCACCUAUGGAUGGACCCGCGUCGCAUUAGCUAGUUGGUUAGGUAACGGCUCACCAAGGCAACGAUGCGUAGCCGACCUGAGAGGGUGAUCGGCCACACUGGGACUGAGACACGGCCCAGACUCCUACGGGAGGCAGCAGUAGGGAAUCUUCCGCAAUGGACGAAAGUCUGACGGAGCAACGCCGCGUGAGUGAUGAAGGCUUCCGGGUCGUAAAACUCUGUUGUUAGGGAAGAACAAGUGCUAGUUGAAUAAGCUGACACCUUGACGGUACCUAACCAGAAAGCCACGGCUAACUACGUGCCAGCCGCCGCUGUAA